AGGCCUAGCUCAAACCCACAAAGCUCUGAGUUCCUCCCCAAGCCAUCAGUCAUCGUCACUCACCCUAAGCAGCUCCAGUUCUCCACUGGAACAAGGCGCCAGCUGCAGACCUAGAGGAACAGUAUGUUCAUUGAUGAAGACAAUGAUACUGUGUUUGGUGCCCAUGGUCACAUUGGAGGUCAUCCGAGAUCAGCUGUCAGUCACCGCACCUCCAGCUUAAACUCACCUGUCAACUGCAAAGGUGCAUCACACUGUCAGCUCUGGCCAGGUAGUCUGUCCAGUGAUGAUGUCAUGAGUCUUAGUCAAUCACACCAGACCUCGUCACGUAGUGCGACCCUCCCAUAUGACCACGCACCUCAGCGGGCCCGACCACAGCGUGGAGGGAGGAACAGCAAUAGGUCACGACCUUCAUCUCCUGAAAGUGAAAUGGUGAAAUGGUGACACUGCAAGAGAGCAAGCUGAAGUCACCACAAAUGGUUAGGAACUACAUCUAUUAAUAACCUGUAUUUUUGUUGCAUGUGAGUUACGCAAGUGGGUCAUUCCCACAAUUCGGUGCCGUUUCAGCAUUGUGGCUUUAAAAAAAAGAAAAGUUUUACUUUACAAUAAAUGUUCUUAUUGUCUGAAUGAGGGCUUAUUAAACGACAAGAAAAAUAUAUUGGUUGAGCUCAGGAUAUUGAAUUCUAAUAAUUAUGACCAAAUUUUUGGCAUGCAACAUAGUCCAGAUGUCCAUCCUGUUACGAGACAUUUUCAUCUGUAUUCAUAAUGUUCUUCAUGCUUAGUCAUUGUGCUUUUGAAAACCUAAAAUGUCCCUUAUUUGAUCCGUAAAAGUAUAUUUUUUUUUAAUAUGAAUAAAUAUUAGGGGUGCCAUGUUACAGUCAGC